CCAAAACACAUGUCCGCGUACAGCUUCCUUUCCUUUUCUUCCCUUCUUGAUUUUCGGUUCCUGAUUUCUCGGGAUUAUUCAAUGAUGAAGGUUUCCAUGUUUUAGACUUUUCCAUAUCAUGCAUCAAAUCAAUCCUUACCAAGAUUACGAAGCAUUCCAACACUAUAAGAACCGAACCUCCACCAUCGAUUUUACUCACACUCGAACCUACUUUGGACAUCUAACUCGGAACCGCAACUCACCGGAGAAUCCAGAAGUUGUCGGAACGCCGAGCACCCUGUCGGAAACCAACCGAAGUUUACGACGGAACUCGUUCCUUUUCAUUUGCUCGCCGGAGAUCGAGUUACGUCGGGACACAAUUCUUCUCAUUUCGUUCGAACCAUUGGAGUCGCCGGAGAAAUCUCCGGAGUUCGGAGACGUCGCUGGAGCUCUUUGUCGGAACUCGGCAUCCAGUUUCGGUUAAUCACUCUUGUUCGUAUCUCUUGCAAUCUCUUGGAUAAACACAAACCUUUCUACUCUUCCUCAUUUACCAAGAAAACGCAACGCAAUCUAAGGUGAGUAUACUCGAUCCCAUUUUCGUUUUAAACACUUUGGGUGCAACAUGUAUUCCAUAUUCAAAUUACACAACACUUGAAACUUGUUAUAUUCAUACUCCAUCCACAUUUCAACACCAAAUAUUUUGCUGCUUGUUAAUCUCAUAUGCUAUGCAAGUUGAACGUAUUGAACAAGUUGAACGUAUUGAACAAGUUGAACGUAUCGAACAAGUUGAACGU